UUCUUUCACCGGAGCUUGCUCCACCGAAAGAAAAAGAGUGGCGAACGGGUGAGUAACACGUGGGUAACCUGCCCAUCAGAAGGGGAUAACACUUGGAAACAGGUGCUAAUACCGUAUAACACUAUUUUCCGCAUGGAAGAAAGUUGAAAGGCGCUUUUGCGUCACUGAUGGAUGGACCCGCGGUGCAUUAGCUAGUUGGUGAGGUAACGGCUCACCAAGGCAACGAUGCAUAGCCGACCUGAGAGGGUGAUCGGCCACACUGGGACUGAGACACGGCCCA
rnacentral:rRNA from 1 species